CUCCAUUAAAAUCUACAAUGCACGCAAGAAUAAGAAAGGGAGGAAAACCAUUCAAUGGAAAAAUCUUGCUGGCAUUCCGGAGCAGAAAGAUAGUAAGACUUGUGGGUAUUGGAUCAUGCGCUACAUGAAGGAGAUAGUGGAAGAUAAGAAUUUGGAGUUUGCAGCUAAAUGGGAAAGAAGGACAAAUCUGGUUUACACAGAAAAGGACAUUGAUCAAGUUCGGGCAGAAUGGGCGAAGCAUGUUAUCAUGUUUCCAGAUAUGUAGUGUGCGUGCUA